GACGAACGCUGGCGGCGUGCCUAACACAUGCAAGUCGAACGAGGUCCAAGGAAGCUUGCUUCCUGACGACCUAGUGGCGAACGGGUGAGUAACACGUGAGACACCUGCCUCGGAGUGGGGAAUAACUCGGGGAAACUCGAGCUAAUACCGCAUAUCUUCCCAUGAUCGCAUGGUCGAGUGAAGCAAGAAUUUCGCUCUGAGAGGGUCUCGCGGCCUAUCAGCUGGUUGGUGGGGUAACGGCCCACCAAGGCAACGACGGGUAGCUGGUUUGAGAGAACGAUCAGCCACACUGGGACUGAGACACGGCCCAGAAUCCUACGGGAGGCAGCAGUGGGGAAUCUUGAGCAAUGGGCGAAAGCCUGACGCAGCAACGCCGCGUGCGGGAUGACGGCCUUCGUGGUCGUAAACCGCUUUCAGCAGGGACGAAAAUGACGGUACCUGCAGAAGAAGCCCCGGCUAACUACGUGCCAGCAGCCGCCGUAAUAC
rnacentral:rRNA from 1 species